AUGGUCUAGUGUUUGACACACUGUCCUAGACUUUCCUACAAUACAGCCUCUAACAAAACUAGGAUGUCUUGAACCCUUGGCAAUAGGAUUGUUUACCUUCAUACCAAGAAGGUUGGGAAAGCUCCUAAAUCUGCUUACUGUAUGUGCUCAGACAGACUUUGCGGGGUUCAUGCUUUAUAGAUUGUCUAAGACUAGGAAACACGCCAGCGGGACUGUGGUGCUUCCGUGUGUGCCAAGUGUGUCCGUGACGGGAUCAAGCAGGCUUUUCUUAUUGAGGAGCAGAAAAUUGUUGUGAAAGUUUUGAAGGCACAAGCACAGAGUCAGAAAGCAAGA
rnacentral:lncRNA from 1 species